rnacentral:rRNA from 1 species
AGUGACAAAGUUCAACGGCCGCGGUACCCUAACCGUGCGAAGGUAGCAUAAUCACUUGUUCUUUAAAUGAGGACUUGUAUCAACGGCACUACGAGGGCUAUACUGUCUCCUUUUUCUAAUCAGUGAAACUGAUCUCCCCGUGAAGAAGCGGGGAUCAAAAUAUAAGACGAGAAGACCCCAUGGAGCUUUAAACUCACCACACACCUCUGUGAUGCUAUACCAUUAGACACAAGAAAUCUGUGUGCUAGUUUUAGGUUGGGGUGACCACGGAGUACAAUUUAACCUCCAUAACAAAUGGGCUAAUACCCUUAUCCACGAGACACAACUCUAAGAAUUACUAAACUAAUGCUUAUGACCCGAUAUUCGAUCAAUGAACCAAGUUACCCUGGGGAUAACAGCGCAAUCUACUUCAAGAGCCCCUAUCGACAAGUAGGUUUACGACCUCGAUGUUGGAUCAGGGUAUCCCGGUGGUGCAGCCGCUACCGAUGGUUCGUUUGUUCAACGAUUAAAACCCUACGUGA